AUGCAAGUCGAACGGUAACAGGUCUUCGGAUGCUGACGAGUGGCGAACGGGUGAGUAAUACAUCGGAACGUGCCUAGUAGUGGGGGAUAACUACUCGAAAGAGUAGCUAAUACCGCAUGAGAUCUACGGAUGAAAGCAGGGGACCUUCGGGCCUUGUGCUACUAGAGCGGCUGAUGGCAGAUUAGGUAGUUGGUGGGGUAAAGGCUUACCAAGCCUGCGAUCUGUAGCUGGUCUGAGAGGACGACCAGCCACACUGGGACUGAGACACGGCCCAGACUCCUACGGGAGGCAGCAGUGGGGAAUUUUGGACAAUGGGCGAAAGCCUGAUCCAGCAAUGCCGCGUGCAGGAUGAAGGCCCUCGGGUUGUAAACUGCUUUUGUACGGAACGAAAAGCCUGGGGCUAAUAUCCCCGGGUCAUGACGGUACCGUAAGAAUAAGCACCGGCUAACUACGUGCCAGCAGCCGCGGUAGUACGUAGGGUGCAAGCGUUAAUCGGAAUUACUGGGCGUAAAGCGUGCGCAGGCGGUUUUGUAAGACAGUGGUGAAAUCCCCGGGCUCAACCUGGGAACUGCCAUUGUGACUGCAAGGCUAGAGUGCGGCAGAGGGGGAUGGAAUUCCGCGUGUAGCAGUGAAAUGCGUAGAUAUGCGGAGGAACACCGAUGGCGAAGGCAAUCCCCUGGGCCUGCACUGACGCUCAUGC
rnacentral:rRNA from 1 species